ensembl:lncRNA
AAACAGAGAAAACCUGGGUAGGGACACAGAGAUAAGGGUCCAAAGGAAGGAGGGAAUCAGAGGAAGUGGUAGGAGUGUGGGGGUGGGAAAUGGUGAUCCGAAGUGGCCACAGGAGGAGGGGCAAGGUAGGGAGCCAGAGACCUCAGGGAAAAGGAUGUCAAAGGAAAGGAAUGGAAGGGAGAUGGGGUCCUGCGUAUCAACAGAGACAAAGGUAGGAGUGGUGGGAAGAUAGGGGCCUAAGAGAAAGAUGUCCAAGACAGACAAGGUGAAGUUGCAGGCUGGUCUGUCAGUGAAGGUCCAAGUAGCUAUUCCCAGCUGUGGAGGGGAAGGAGUUGGCAGUCCUGUAGGAGUGUAGAAGGGGAGGGUGGCGUUGGUGCUGGUGGGUAUGCCAUGAGGUAAAGAAGGCACCUGUAUACAAAGCCCAGACUGUGAUCUGGAGACAGCUCGCUGUGGCUUUUGCUGACUAUCCCUGUGGAACCUGAGUGUGAGUACAGCUGUGUCUGUGUCCCUAGCCUCUUGGCCACCAGAACCAGACCAAUUCAGGACAGCCAGCCAUGGAAGGAUUCCUCCCCAACAGCUGCUCUGGGGUCACUGCAGAAAGGACAUUGGUCAAACCCAGCAUCAAGGAUAGGACUGUGCCUGGGGAAAAGGGACACAGGCUUCUAAGGCAGAUGUGGUCCAUCACCAACCUCCUCUGUCAAGUAACUCGGUGUUCCAAGGUGUUCGACAGAGUGUGUUUAGAUGCCUGCGUCUGGGUGUGCCUUGUGUGUGUACUCAGAUGUGAUGGGUUGUCUGUUAUCCUCCGUGUGUUUUCACAGGGGUGUGACUUCCUGUGUGUGUUCUCAGGCAUGUGUACUUGGAUGUGUUAAUCUGUUGGUGUUCUUCGGUGUAUGCCAAGGUGUGGCUGUUCUCAUGUUUGCCCUGUGUGUGCUUUGGGUGGGUGGUGCACACUCUUGUGUUCAGAGGGAUAUCUGUGCACUGGACGCUGUCUUGCUUCCCUCCCUGGUGAGGGGAUCCUCUCGUGGAUAGCCGCUUUCACAUAAUUUCUUAAACACUAUCACUUCCUGGGGACUUUGGCACUAAAAUAAUGACAGUCCUCGGCCACCCAGAACCUUAACUUCCCAAAGGUUAUUUCCCAAACCUUAACUUCAAGGAACCCUAUAAUCCAAUUGGGAACAGUUGGGCAGAGACAGUGUCUUCCUCCACUGACCAGUUGAUGGCAGUUCCCUCCAUCUUGGUUCCCAGACCCACUGAACCCACUGUCCCACCUCCAUCUCCUAGAAUGUUCUAGAUGGAAGGAGUAGCUAUCUUGCUGAAGCCUAGCUUUGGUCCUCCUAUUGAGCCUCCCAUGUCAUGGGCCCAGAACCACAAAAGACCCUGACCAAGGGCUGCUGCCUCUCCCAGUGAGACAUGGUCCUCACACCCACUUUGCACACCAGUGCCCACUCCUGGGUCCAGCUGGGCUUCAGACAGUCCGAGUAUUAUACAGUACGCAGCCGGUACCCAUAGGAGGGGGAUCCUCUCUUCUCUGCCUGUUUACCAACACUCUCUACGUGGACACCUGCUUAUACUCAGCCCCGGAAGGAGGCUGGGCCCAACACUCUUGGGAUGCUCACUACAGACUCAGCCAGCUAUCAGUUCUCUGGAAUCCAAAAGUUGUUCAUGACAAGGAUGUCGGUGCUGUCUGUCAGCAGCACUUGACCCUCAAGAAUGGGGUCCGCUGCUGUUUGGAAUUGGUGAAUGUCUCCCAAGCCGUCAAGUGUUGAGAUAUGAUCCUCACUGUGAAGGAUGAGGAGGGAGGGGAGCUUUGGAAAGUAAUUUGGACUAGAUUCGGUCUACAAUUGUGUCCCAGUAGCAUGAGAAGAAGACAAAGACCUGAAGAGACACUGUACGUCCCCUUCCUCUUGCCAUACCGAUGCUACAGCCCCUCAAGACUUUGUCAGUCGAGUCUCUGGGGCAAAACCUUGACCUUGGUCCAGGAGCCUGGGAGGGAUGAAAUCACUCUCAUGGAUGACUGAAGAGCCUCGUGUGGGAGUUCACACCUACAGUCCAAGCACAAAAGGGGAAGAGCUCGGAGUUUGGGGCAAGCCUGCUCCCUUCUCCUUUUUUGAGACAGGAUUUCUCUGUGUAGCCUCCCUCAGCUGUCCCAGAACUCACUUUGUACACUAGACUGGCCCAGAACUCAGAAAUCCACCUGCUUCUGCCUCCCAAGUGCUUAAAGGCCUGAGCCGGAUUGUUUCUUUUCUUUGUUUCAAGUCUGGAGUCUGGUCUAAAUAAGCAAGCUCCAGGCUACCCUAGCGAGCCUGUCUCAAAUAACCAAACAACAACAACAACAACAACAGAGAGAGAGAGAGAGAGAGAGAGAGAGGAGAGACUGAGUCAGGUUCUGCCCCAGGGUGGACUGUAUACACACACACACACACACACA